UACGAGAGCCUCGAGCGUUAUCCGGAAUUAUUGGGCGUAAAGGGUGCGUAGGUUGUUCUGUUAGUCUUUUGUUAAAUCCCGGGGCUUAACCUCGGAGUCGCGAAAGAAACGGCAGAACUUGAAAGUGUGAGAGGCGUACGGAACUCAUGGUGUAGGGGUGAAAUCCGUUGAUAUCAUGGGGAACACCAAAAGCGAAGGCAGUACGCUGGCGCAUAUUUGACACUGAAGCACGAAAGCGUGGGUAGCGAAUGGG
rnacentral:rRNA from 1 species